UUUGGUGGCGAUAGCGAAGAGGUCACACCCGUUCCCAUACCGAACACGGAAGUUAAGCUCUUCAGCGCCGAUGGUAGUCGGGGGGCUCCCCCUGUGAGAGUAGGACGCCGCCAAGC
rnacentral:rRNA from 1 species